UUCUACUCCUACGGGAGGCAGCAGUAGGGAAUCUUCCACAAUGGACGAAAGUCUGAUGGAGCAACGCCGCGUGUGUGAUGAAGGCUUUCGGCUCGUAAAACACUGUUGUCAGAGAAGAAUGACAUUGAGAGUAACUGUUCGGUGUGUGACGGUAUCUUACCAGAAAGGAACGGCUAACUACGUGCCAGCAGCCGCGGUAAUAA
rnacentral:rRNA from 1 species